rnacentral:lncRNA from 1 species
GAUUAUUGCAGGUAGUAUAACAGUGAUCCCUUUUAUUCUGCAUGCAAGUACCACUAGUGAAUGGCAGGGAGGGUUUGCGCGGUUUGCAGGAUCCAGCCAAAUGGUUCCUCCGAUGCGCGUACAGAAGAUGGAAGCUCACAGUUCCGUGCAGGGCACACAACGUUUACCGCUGUACCUCAAGAUAACAUGCCCAUGUUUCCAACGGCGCUGCACCUAUAGGGGGAUGUACCAAAUGUCCAUAAAUAAAAACGUACAACCACAAGGACCAAGCUUUUUGGAGAUGUUAGGCCAAGUAGAUUGGUUGUUCAGUCAACCACCUAUCAUGCAACCACAAAUAACAGGAAUGUACACUGCCGACCAAAUGAUGGGAUAUGCCGGCAGCACGCUGUCCUACGGAGAACCAUGUAGCUACGGUGGGGGGUCGUCAACAGCACAACACGAGAUAGGACCAUCGCAGCUUGAUGAACCGCCUCCAAUAACUCAACCGAUCCAAGACUACGGGUACAUUAAUUUCAGCGGUGUUGAGGUGGCACAUAUAUAGGUCUGUCCGCGAGUGACAUUCACCCGAAAGAUUAUCGUUGUCAGGAUGCAGACCUUCAGCUGGUGCUAGAAGAAAGGGAAAGAAAAAAGGCACUACGACAUCAAGAAAUUUCGAUGAUGAGGCUAAUGAGUAGAACGAUUUUAUAUUUUGCUCAUUCGAACUAAUAUGUAAUAUUGUGUAUUAAAACUUUCUAAUGUGUCGGCUAAAUUUCUAAAUAAAUAAAUUCG